GCCUCAAUAGCUCAGUUGGUUAGAGCACAUGACUGUUAAUCAUGGGGUCGUUGGUUCAAGUCCAUCUUGAGGCG
rnacentral:tRNA from 1 species